rnacentral:rRNA from 1 species
CGCGUAGGCGGGUUUUCAAGUCUGUGGUGAAAUCCUCCAGCUUAACUGGAGAAGUGCCGUGGAUACUGGGGACCUCGAGGUGGGUAGGGGCAUCUGGAACAGCCGGUGGAGCGGUGAAAUGCGUUGAUAUCGGCUGGAACUCCGAUGGCGAAGGCAAGGUGCUGGACCCUCUCUGACGCUGAGGCGCGAAAGCCAGGGGAGCGAACG